UGUGACAUCUCCUGUGGUGGGCCCUGGUGAUUGCCUCAAGCACAUCUGUAUAAUAUCUGCUUUUCCUCACUUCUGCAUCCUACAAAGCCUGGCUACAGAUAUCUAUGGAUGCACCUCCCUCAGACACUUCUUUGUGUAGAAAGACAGAAUCUUGUUCUUGUAAUAGAUAGAGAUGUCCAAUAGCACUGAGGAUGGACAGAUGAAACUGGAAACCCAAGGCCACCUGUAGGAUACAGAAGAGAUUCCCCCAUCCCAGAAGCAAAUGGCUCCAGCUUCUGCUUCCCACCUUCAUCCUUAGAAAGAUGUGUGCUAAGCCUUGGAAUGGAUCUGUAGAAGAACAGUACCAAAAGAUCAUACUUCAUUAGCAUUGCAUCAAAUAAUGUUGGAACAAGAGGCACCCUCACGUCAGCACUGCCCAUUGGAAAACAGAUGAUGAUAAUACCACCAUCAUGAAUCUCAGGACAAUGGUCAGCAUGAAGUGAAGCCUUCGUUGGUGGAUAUGCCAUUUUCCUGGAGUCUCCACUGUCCUCGUGUCUCCGUGAGACUUAGGUUUUCCUCCUAGUUUCAUGCAUUGAUUUCUAAAGUCCUCACUGUGGGGAUUCUGCUACUGUUGCUGACUCAGAUUGCCUUGCUUCAGUGACUUUCUGGGAUCUUGCCACAAGCUUUCAUGACCCCUCACACAUGUAUAUUUCAUGUCUGGUAAACUAAUACUGUGUAGACAAUGCUGCCAAUUUCAGCUACCAACACAAAAUGCAGCUUUCCCUACAAUCAGCAGUCUUCCUUGGACCACAGCUGCAGCAAGAAGCCUCUUCAUACCUUUCAUAAUGAACUUGAGGAAACACAUCUAUGGGCUGUGUCUGCCAUUGAAGACCCGUUCAUCAGCUCUGUGCUUUCAAACAAGUUUGUAUUUGUAUUUGUUGGAAGAUAGAAUCUUACCUCAGGGAGAUGUGGCCAUUAUUCUUUCACAGAAGACUCCUAUAAGCUCAAUAAGCAUUUCUUUCUAGGUUGGUUUUUAUAUGAGAUCUCUCAAGAUGGGUUUAUAGAAUCCAACAUCUAAGAACUCUGUUGACAAUGUCCAAUUGAGCUUAUUACAAAACCAACAGAGGAUAUUGAUUGAUGCAUUGGAUUUAAGAAGGCAAAAUUAAAAUACAAGAGUAUACUUCAAAACUCUGCCUGGCAAGAAAUGCUGAAGUACAGUGGUGAGC
rnacentral:lncRNA from 1 species